GACGAACGCUGGCGGCGUGCUUAACACAUGCAAGUCGAACGGAAAGGCCCUGCGUUUGUGGGGUGCUCGAGUGGCGAACGGGGGAGUAACACGUGAGUAACCUGCCCUUGACUGUGGGAUAACUUCAGGAAACUGGGGCUAAUACCGGAUAGGAGCUCCUGCUGCAUGGUGGGGGUUGGAAAGUGUCGGCGGUUUUGGGUGGACUCGCGGCUUAUAAGCUUGUUGGGGGGGUAGUGACUUACCAGGGCUUUGACGGGUAGCCAGCCUGAGAGGGUGACAGGCCCCAUGGGGCCUGAGAUACGGCCCAGAGUGAAACGUGAGGAAAGGGCGGAGAACAGUGGAAACAGCGCGGCGGCCUGAUGGAGGAACUUCGGGUGGGAGAUCUCGGCCUUUGGGUUGGAAACUGUUUUCGAGUGUCAGGAAGCGUGAGUGCGGGUACUGGGUAAAGAAGCACCGGUUACUUCGGU
rnacentral:rRNA from 1 species